AAAAAAAAAAAAAAAACUAAAAAACUAACCACAAGAAUCUUGUUGGCAUUCCCAAUAUUAAGAGUUUUUCCUUCUGCAUCAUUUAUGGAUUAGAAUGAUAUAAAUCCAGCUAGAGUUGCUCUUUUUUGGUUUCAAGCAAACAUGUUUCACUGCUGUGAGUAUGUGACACACUCAGUCUGAGACUCAGUGUUCCUAAAAAGGCUAGGAUGGGUCGGAGCAGUUCAACGAAGUAGAGUAUCAUAAUAUAUUAAUAUGUCUCUUGGCUAGUAUGAUAUGCUUUUCUCUAAAUUCCUUGAACUGCAUUAUUUGCAGCUGCCUGUAUGACUUGGGAUUUAGCAGAAUCGGGGAAGCACUUUAUUACUACCAUCAUCAAUGGAUCUGAUCUGGUGCCUACAUUUUCAGCUGC
rnacentral:misc_RNA from 1 species